rnacentral:rRNA from 1 species
CCCUUAGAUGUUCUGGGCUGCACGCGCGCUACACUGAUGCGCUCAACGAGUUUCAACCUUGCCUGGAAAGGUUGGGUAAUCUUUUUAAAACGCAUCGUGAUGGGGAUAGAUUAUUGCAAUUAUUAAUCUUCAACGAGGAAUUCCUAGUAAGCGUGAUUCAUCAAAUCGCGUUGAUUACGUCCCUGCCCUUUGUACACACCGCCCGUCGCUCCUACCGAUUGAAUGUGUUGGUGAGGAGCUCGGAUUGGCAGCAGUUGGUGGUUCGCCACCGGCUAUUGCUGAGAAGUCCUCCAAACCGCCCCAUUUAGAGGAAGGAGAAGUCGUAACA